ACAUUCUAGUGGCGACGGGUGAGUAACACGUUGGAACCUGCCCCAAAGUGAGGAAUAAGCCACCGAAAGGUGGUCUAAUACUUCAUAAUAUCCAUCUCGUAUGGAUUAAAGCUUUAUGCGCUUUGGGAGGGGCCUGCGUAACAUUAGCUUGUUGGUGAGGGUAAAAGCUCACCAAGGCUUCGAUGUUUAACUGGUUUGAGAGGAUGACCAGUCACACUGGGACUGAGAUACGGCCCAGACUCCUACGGGAGGCAGCAGUAAGGAAUCUUCCACAAUGGGGCAACCCUGAUGGAGCAAUACCGCGUGCAGGAUGAAGCGUUUCGGCGUGUAAACUGCUUUUAUCACCGAAGAUUAUGACUGUAGGUGAAGAAUAAGGACCGGCUAACUACGUG
rnacentral:rRNA from 1 species